GGACGUGAGGUCCAUCUGGCUACGAUAUCAGUCACCCCAUUGGCCCACCAGAGUUGAUUGGCUAAUCUGGCUGGCGAGGUGGUUGUCCCCGUCCUUCCCUCCGUGCUCCACAUGCAUCUCUCCUGAAGCUGCGUGUUCCGUCUAAGAGGACAGCCUUCCCUGAAUAGGGAUGGAUGGGUCUUCCAACCUUCCAUUGAGGGUCCCCUGCUCCAAACAAGCUCUCAUUCAGGAAAAACCCAGUCUUAGAUCUCAUGACU
rnacentral:sRNA from 1 species